CACUAUCGUUAACUGAAUACAUAGGUUAACGAGGCGAACCGGGGGAACUGAAACAUCUAAGUACCCCGAGGAAAAGAAAUCAACCGAGAUUCCCCCAGUAGCGGCGAGCGAACGGGGAGCAGCCCAGAGUCUGAAUCAGCUUGUGUGUUAGUGGAACGGUCUGGAAAGUCCGACGGUACAGGGUGAUAGUCCCGUACACCAAAAUGCACAGGCUGUGAACUCGAAGAGUAGGGCGGGACACGUGGUAUCCUGUCUGAAUAUGGGGGGACCAUCCUCCAAGGCUAAAUACUCCUGACUGACCGAUAGUGAACCAGUACCGUGAGGGAAAGGCGAAAAGAACCCCGGCGAGGGGAGUGAAAAAGAACCUGAAACCGUGUACGUACAAGCAGUGGGAGCACCUUUAUGGUGUGACUGCGUACCUUUUGUAUAAUGGGUCAGCGACUUAUAUUCUGUAGCAAGGUUAACCGUAUAGGGGAGCCGCAGGGAAACCGAGUCUUAACUGGGCGUUAAGUUGCAGGGUAUAGACCCGAAACCCGGUGAUCUAGCCAUGGGCAGGUUGAAGGUUGGGUAACACUAACUGGAGGACCGAACCGACUAAUGUUGAAAAAUUAGCGGAUGACUUGUGGCUGGGGGUGAAAGGCCAAUCAAACCGGGAGAUAGCUGGUUCUCCCCGAAAGCUAUUUAGGUAGCGCCUCGUGAAUUCAUCUUCGGGGGUAGAGCACUGUUUCGGCUAGGGGGUCAUCCCGACUUACCAACCCGAUGCAAACUACGAAUACCGAAGAAUGUUAUCACGGGAGACACACGGCGGGUGCUAACGUCCGUCGUGAAGAGGGAAACAACCCAGACCGCCAGCUAAGGUCCCAAAGUCAUGGUUAAGUGGGAAACGAUGUGGGAAGGCACAGACAGCCAGGAUGUUGGCUUAGAAGCAGCCAUCAUUUAAAGAAAGCGUAAUAGCUCACUGGUCGAGUCGGCCUGCGCGGAAGAUGUAACGGGGCUAAACCAUGCACCGAAGCUGCGGCAGCGACACUAUGUGUUGUUGGGUAGGGGAGCGUUCUGUAAGCCUGCGAAGGUGACCUGUGAGGGUUGCUGGAGGUAUCAGAAGUGCGAAUGCUGACAUAAGUAACGAUAAAGCGGGUGAAAAGCCCGCUCGCCGGAAGACCAAGGGUUCCUGUCCAACGUUAAUCGGGGCAGGGUGAGUCGACCCCUAAGGCGAGGCCGAAAGGCGUAGUCGAUGGGAAACAGGUUAAUAUUCCUGUACUUGGUGUUACUGCGAAGGGGGGACGGAGAAGGCUAUGUUAGCCGGGCGACGGUUGUCCCGGUUUAAGCAUGUAGGCUGGUUAUCCAGGCAAAUCCGGAUAAUCAAGGCUGAGGUGUGAUGACGAAGCACUACGGUGCUGAAGUAACAAAUGCCCUGCUUCCAGGAAAAGCCUCUAAGCAUCAGGUAACAUCAAAUCGUACCCCAAACCGACACAGGUGGUCAGGUAGAGAAUACCAAGGCGCUUGAGAGAACUCGGGUGAAGGAACUAGGCAAAAUGGUGCCGUAACUUCGGGAGAAGGCACGCUGGUGUGUAGGUGAAGUCCCUGCGGAUGGAGCUGAGACCAGUCGAAGAUACCAGCUGGCUGCAACUGUUUAUUAAAAACACAGCACUGUGCAAACACGAAAGUGGACGUAUACGGUGUGACGCCUGCCCGGUGCCGGAAGGUUAAUUGAUGGGGUUAUCCGUAAGGAGAAGCUCUUGAUCGAAGCCCCGGUAAACGGCGGCCGUAACUAUAACGGUCCUAAGGUAGCGAAAUUCCUUGUCGGGUAAGUUCCGACCUGCACGAAUGGCGUAAUGAUGGCCAGGCUGUCUCCACCCGAGACUCAGUGAAAUUGAACUCGCUGUGAAGAUGCAGUGUACCCGCGGCAAGACGGAAAGACCCCGUGAACCUUUACUAUAGCUUGACACUGAACAUUGAGCCUUGAUGUGUAGGAUAGGUGGGAGGCUUUGAAGCGUGGACGCCAGUCUGCGUGGAGCCAACCUUGAAAUACCACCCUUUAAUGUUUGAUGUUCUAACGUUGGCCCCUUACCGGGGUUGCGGACAGUGUCUGGUGGGUAGUUUGACUGGGGCGGUCUCCUCCCAAAGCGUAACGGAGGAGCACGAAGGUUAGCUAAUCCUGGUCGGACAUCAGGAGGUUAGUGCAAUGGCAUAAGCUAGCUUGACUGCGAGCGUGACGGCGCGAGCAGGUGCGAAAGCAGGUCAUAGUGAUCCGGUGGUUCUGAAUGGAAGGGCCAUCGCUCAACGGAUAAAAGGUACUCCGGGGAUAACAGGCUGAUACCGCCCAAGAGUUCAUAUCGACGGCGGUGUUUGGCACCUCGAUGUCGGCUCAUCACAUCCUGGGGCUGAAGUAGGUCCCAAGGGUAUGGCUGUUCGCCAUUUAAAGUGGUACGCGAGCUGGGUUUAGAACGUCGUGAGACAGUUCGGUCCCUAUCUGCCGUGGGCGCUGGAGAAUUGAGGGGGGCUGCUCCUAGUACGAGAGGACCGGAGUGGACGCAUCACUGGUGUUCGGGUUGUCAUGCCAAUGGCACUGCCCGGUAGCUAAAUGCGGAAGAGAUAAGUGCUGAAAGCAUCUAAGCACGAAACUUGCCCCGAGAUGAGUUCUCCCUGAGACUUUAAGUCUCCUGAAGGAACGUUGAAGACGACGACGUUGAUAGGCCGGGUGUGUAAGCGCAGCGAUGCGUUGAGCUAACCGGUACUAAUGAACCGUGAGGCUUAACCUUACAACGCCGAAG
rnacentral:rRNA from 1 species